UCGAACGGCAGCACGGGAGCAAUCCUGGUGGCGAGUGGCGAACGGGUGAGUAAUACAUCGGAACGUGCCCAGUAGUGGGGGAUAACCCGGCGAAAGCCGGACUAAUACCGCAUACGACCUACGGGUGAAAGCAGGGGAUCGCAAGACCUUGCGCUAUCGGAGCGGCCGAUGUCAGAUUAGCUUGUUGGUGGGGUAAAAGCCCACCAAGGCGACGAUCUGUAGCUGGUCUGAGAGGACGACCAGCCACACUGGGACUGAGACACGGCCCAGACUCCUACGGGAGGCAGCAGUGGGGAAUUUUGGACAAUGGGCGCAAGCCUGAUCCAGCCAUGCCGCGUGCGGGAAGAAGGCCUUCGGGUUGUAAACCGCUUUUGUCAGGGAAGAAACGCUCCGGGCUAAUAUCUCGGAGUAAUGACGGUACCUGAAGAAUAAGCACCGGCUAACUACGUGCCAGCAGCCGCGGUAAUACGUAGGGUGCAAGCGUUA
rnacentral:rRNA from 1 species